AUACGUACCUGGCAGGGGAAAUACCAUGAUCACGCAGGUAGUUUUCCCAGGGCGAGGCUCAUGCGUUGCGGUUUGGGUGUGCUUACCCUUGCGAUUUCCCCAAGAAUAUAAAUAAAUAAAUACAGAACAC
ensembl:snRNA U1 U1 spliceosomal RNA